rnacentral:rRNA from 1 species
UACGUAGGGUCCGAGCGUUGUCCGGAUUUAUUGGGCGUAAAGAGCUCGUAGGCGGUGUGUCGCGUCGGCCGUGAAAACCUGCAGCUUAACUGUGGGCGUGCGGUCGAUACGGGCAUCACUGGAGUUCGGCAGGGGAGACUGGAAUUCCUGGUGUAGCGGUGAAAUGCGCAGAUAUCAGGAGGAACACCGGUGGCGAAGGCGGGUCUCUGGGCCGAUACUGACGCUGAGGAGCGAAAGCGUGGGGAGCGAACAGG